rnacentral:rRNA from 1 species
AACGAACGCUGGCGGCAUGCCUAACACAUGCAAGUCGAACGAGACCUUCGGGUCUAGUGGCGCACGGGUGCGUGACGCGUGGGAACCUGCCCUUAGGUUCGGAAUAACUCCCCGUAAGGGGUGCUCAUACCGGUUAAUGUCUUCGGACCAAAGAUUUAUCGCCUUUGGAUGGGCCCGCGUUGGUUUAGCUAGUUGGUAGGGUAAAAGCCUACCAAGGCGACGAUCGAUAGCUGGUCUGGGAGGAUGGUCAGCCACACUGGGACUGAGACACGGCCCAGACUCCUACGGGAGGCAGCAGUGGGGAAUAUUGGACAAGGGGCGAAAGCCUGGUAAAGCAAUGCCGCGUGAGUGAUGAAGGCCUUAGGGUUGUAAAGCUCUUUUACCCGGGAUGAUAAUGACAGUACCGGGAGAAUAAGCACCGGCUAACUCCGUG